UGGGGAAGUGUUUUCUUUUUUUAUUAUUAUUUUUUAUUUCUUACAUAUAUGACAAUAGUGAAAUGCAUUACAUUCAUAAUUAUCCAUUCACAGCACAAUUUUUCGUAACUCUGUAUGUAAAGUAUGUUCAUGCCAAAUUAUGCCAUUAUACAUGAGCUCCCUUACUUUUUUGCAUUACAAUUCUUAAUACACCUUUAUAGUACAAUUUAUCAUAUAUCUGUUUAUAUAUAAGGUAUGUUGACACCAAAUUCACAUCUUCAUACAUGUAUUUUGUAUAAUGGUGACUGUGUCCUUCCACCAUCCUUGCUAUUCCCCUUCUCCCUCCCUUUCCCUCCCAUCCCUACUCCCUAUCUAGAGGUAAUCUUCCUCCUAUGCUCUCCCUCCCUACCCCACUUUGAGUCACCCCCCUUAUAUCAGAGAAAACAUUCGGCAUUUGUUUUUUGGGGAUUGGCUAACUUCACUUAGCAUAAUCUUCUCUAAUGCCAUCCAUUUCCCUGCAAAUGCCAUAAUCUUAUUCAUUUUUAGUGCUGAGUAAUAUUCCAUUGUGUAUAAAUGCCACAUUUUUUUUAUCCAUUCAUCCACUGAAGGACAUCUAGGUUGAUCCAAAGUUUAGCUAUUGUGAAUUGAGCUGCUAUAAACACUGAUGUGGCUGUGUCCCUCUAGUAUGCUGUUUCUAGGUCCUUUGGGUAUAGUCCAAGAAGAGGAAUAAAUGGGUCAAAUGGUGGUUCCAUUCCCAGUUUCCCAAGGAAUCUCCAUACUGCUUUCCAAAUUGGCGGAAGCAUCUUCUUAAUUGUACGUUCUUCAAUGCAAAAAUCAUCCAAAACCCAUAGAAUUCUUUUCUUUUUCUAACUUUCUAUGGUACUUGAUCAGGCCAUAUAAUAUUGUUUUUAACUGUUGAUAUACCACACUAGUCAUCACCAAUACCAUUUGUUUUAACAGAUGUAUUUCUUAACUUGACCAAAAAUGCAUACUUUGCAGCCACAGCUAGAUUUCCCACUCCUAGAGAAAUGGAAUUGUGUCUGUCAGUAGCCAUAAUGAUAAGAUCUGUAAUGUAAGUGCUAGGUGUUGGUAAUACUUAUUACAUCAGUGUCCCAUAUUAAUCUUUUUUAAACAAUUUUUUAUUUGUUGAUAGACCUUUAUUUUUAUUUUAUUUAUAUGGAGUGCUGAGAUUCAAACCCAGUGCCUCACACAUGCCAGGCAAGUGUCCUACCACUGAGUCACAGCCCCAGCACCCCCUUAUUAAUUUUAGUAGUGGUACUGUGUAUAAUUGAGCAUCAGCUCUAGCUUAGGGACAUGACGCAGUUCUGCAGAGAACAUCUGGCAUCCUUUUCUGCCUUGGUUUUCUGCCUUUUCUGCUCCUAAAGGUUAAUCUUCAUAAUAUGCACCAAUAGAAGGUAACCCAAAACACAGGUUACUUGAGAAAACAUUUUUUUUCUUUGUAUUAUUGUAGAUGGACUUGCCCUUGGGAAUUCACUUGGAAAUGUAAUAUUCACAUCAUAAAGACAAACUCAGGAUCUUAGAAAUUUUCCCCAGUUCUUUAUUUUGCUUCUACUUUUGGAUACUCAGUUGUUUGUAUCUUUCUGUGUGAACAGAGAAAUCAAGGAAAGCACUGGUGGAGCAGGAUUUUUCCGUGGC
rnacentral:lncRNA from 1 species